rnacentral:rRNA from 1 species
UACGUAGGUGGCAAGCGUUAUCCGGAAUUAUUGGGCGUAAAGCGCGCGUAGGCGGUUUCUUAAGUCUGAUGUGAAAGCCCACGGCUCAACCGUGGAGGGUCAUUGGAAACUGGGAGACUUGAGUGCAGAAGAGGAAAGUGGAAUUCCAUGUGUAGCGGUGAAAUGCGUAGAGAUAUGGAGGAACACCAGUGGCGAAGGCGACUUUCUGGGCUGUAACUGACACUGAGGCGCGAAAGCGUGGGGAGCAAACAGG